CCCUUAGACGUUCUGGGCCGCACGCGCGCUACACUGACCGGUGCAACAAGCAUCCGUCCUUGGCCGACAGGCCCGGGCAAUCUUUGAACGCCGGUCGUGAUGGGGAUAGACUUUUGCAAUUUUUGGUCUUCAACGAGGAAUUCCUAGUAAACGCAAGUCAUCAACUUGCAUUGAUUACGUCCCUGCCCUUUGUACGCACCGCCCGUCGCACCUACCGAUUGAAUGGUCCGGUGAAGCCUCCGGAUUGGCGCGCACCUCGGUGCCGCCGAGAAGUUGGCUAAACCUUACCAUUUAGAGGAAGGUGAAGUCGUAACA
rnacentral:rRNA from 1 species